GCGGUCCUGGGCAGGAAGCAGCAGUGAUUCAGAGGUAACAGCUGAUCUUCAACUAGGAGACAGUCUGUCGCUAACUACUGAUUUAAAGCUGCCUUUAAGGGGAUUUUGCUGUAAGUGCCAGUCAUACUCUGUGAUCCCCGUUGAACUUGAAAUGAUGAAGUUCUUCUACCUUCUUCUGGUUCUUCUCUUUGGGGUCUUCCUGGCCACUACUGCCAACGGCCAGCGUGCGACCCGGUAUGUCAACCACUGCCUCCAGAAAGGUGGCACGUGCCGAUAUGACGACUGUGAGGCGGGUGAGGAGCAGAUUGGGACUUGCUACCGUCAGACCAUGGUCUGCUGCCGUGAUGAGGAAUAAGAGGGGAUACAGGCAAGCAUGCUGUCCUGGAGGCGCCCCGUUGCCAGAUGCAUAGUGGCCACAGAAAU